rnacentral:rRNA from 1 species
GUUGGCUUAGAAGCAGCCAUCAUUUAAAGAAAGCGUAAUAGCUCACUGGUCGAGUCGGCCCGCGCGGAAGAUGUAACGGGGCUAAACCAUGCACCGAAGCUGCGGCAGCGACACAAAGUGUUGUUGGGUAGGGGAGCGUUCUGUAAGCCUGCGAAGGUGUACUGUGAGGUAUGCUGGAGGUAUCAGAAGUGCGAAUGCUGACAUAAGUAACGAUAAUGCGGGUGAAAAACCCG